UGGGGAAUAUUGCACAAUGGGCGCAAGCCUGAUGCAGCCAUGCCGCGUGUAUGAAGAAGGCCUUCGGGUUGUAAAGUACUUUCAGCGGGGAGGAAGGUGUUGAGGUUAAUAACCUCAGCAAUUGACGUUACCCGCAGAAGAAGCACCGGCUAACUCCGUGCCGGCAGCCGCGGUAAUACGGAGGGUGCAAGCGUUAAUCGGAAUUACUGGGCGUAAAGCGCACGCAGGCGGUCUGUCAAGUCGGAUGUGAAAUCCCCGGGCUCAACCUGGGAACUGCAUUCGAAACUGGCAGGCUAGAGUCUUGUAGAGGGGGGUAGAAUUCCAGGUGUAGCGGUGAAAUGCGUAGAGAUCUGGAGGAAUACCGGUGGCGAAGGCGGCCCCCUGGACAAAGACUGACGCUCAGGUGCGAAAGCGUGGGGAGCAAACA
rnacentral:rRNA from 1 species